rnacentral:rRNA from 1 species
GUCGAGCGGGUAGAGAGAAGCUUGCUUUUCUUGAGAGCGGCGGACGGGUGAGUAAUGCCUAGGAAUCUGCCUGGUAGUGGGGGAUAACGUUCGGAAACGGACGCUAAUACCGCAUACGUCCUACGGGAGAAAGCAGGGGACCUUCGGGCCUUGCGCUAUCAGAUGAGCCUAGGUCGGAUUAGCUAGUUGGUGAGGCAACGGCUCACCAAGGCGACGAUGCGUAGCCGACCUGAGAGGGUGACCGGCCACACUGGGACUGAGACACGGCCCAGACUCCUACGGGAGGCAGCAGUAGGGAAUCCUCCGCAAUGGACGAAAGUCUGACGGAGCAACGCCGCGUGAGCGAAGAAGGUCUUCGGAUCGUAAAGCUCUGUUGUCAGGGAAGAACAAGUGCCGUUCGAACAGGGCGGUACCUUGACGGUACCUGACGAGGAAGCCACGGCUAACUACGUGCCAGCAGCCGCGGUAAU